AGAAUCUUAAGUUAAUAAAACUAGCGGCCUUCAAAGCCGAAAAUAGCAUUUGUUAGAUUUUA
rnacentral:tRNA from 1 species